rnacentral:rRNA from 1 species
UGCGUAGGCGGGAGAUUAAGUCAGUGGUGAAAUCCUACAGCUUAACUGUAGAACUGCCAUUGAUACUGGUUUUCUUGAGUAUAGUUGAAGUGGGCGGAAUGUGUAUUGUAGCGGUGAAAUGCUUAGAUAUUACACAGAACACCUAUUGCGAAGGCAGCUCACUAAACUAAUGCUGACGCUGAGGCACGAAAGCGUGGGGAGCAAACAGGAUUAGAUACCCUGGUAGUCC